rnacentral:rRNA from 1 species
GGAAAGAUGAAAAGCACUUUGUAAAGAGAGUUAAAAAGCACGUGAAAUUGUUAAAAGGGAAACGAUUGAAGUCAGUCGUGAGCCCGGGAUUCAGCCGGCCCUGCCGGUCUACUUCCCGGGCUUGGGUCAACAUCAGUUCCCGUCGGUGGAUAAAGGCUGUGGGAAUGUGGCUCCCCCGGGAGUGUUAUAGCCCGCUGUCGCAUACGCCGGUGGGGACUGAGGAAUGCAGCUCGCCUUCAUGGCCGGGGCUUCGGCCCACGUUCGAGCUUAGGAUGUUGGCAUAAUGGCUUUAAACGACCCGUCUUGUAACACGGACCAAGGAGUCUAACAUGUACGCGAGUCAUUGGGACUUGUAUGAAUUUUUUUUUAUACAAAAAUAACGAAGCCUAAAGGCGCAAUGAAAGUAAAGGCAC